rnacentral:rRNA from 1 species
UACGUAGGUGGCAAGCGUUGUCCGGAUUUACUGGGCGUAAAGGGAGCGUAGGCGGCUAAUUAAGUCAGUGGUUAAAGGUAGCAGCUUAACUGUUUUACAUGCCAUUGAUACUGGUUAGCUUGAGUUGACGGAAGGCAGAUAGAAUUUCUGGUGUAGCGGUGAAAUGCUUAGAUACCAGAAGGAAUACCGAUUGCGAAGGCAGUCUGCUGCAGUCACACUGACGCUGAGGCUCGAAGGUGCGGGGAUCAAACAGG